AAUAAUCCCUCACAAGGCUUAAACAAUAUGUGUAUAGUUUCACAAUAAUAAUAUGACAAUUACCAAAGGUUGGUAUAUGGUUUUCCACAAUUAUUUGCUAGACAACAAUGAUGUUUUUGCUCUUGAUUCAAUGGAAGGAAGAAGAAUCUUGUCUUGCAAUAAUGUGGGAACCAUAACCCCCACUUUAUAACAAAAGAGUUACA
rnacentral:lncRNA from 1 species